CCGUUUGUUCACGCCGUUUGUCCGAAUGGUCGUUUGUCCGAAAAUUUUCGGACAAACGACCAUUCGGACAAACGGUUUUCGGACAAACGGCGA
rnacentral:pre_miRNA from 1 species